UGGCGCAAAGGUACUAACUGCAACUGCCUGCGACGCAGAAGGUUCCGGGUUCGAUUCCCGGUGGGUCAC